AUAAAGAUAAGCUAAACUAAGCUAAUAGGUUCAUACCCUAUUUAUAGAAGCAUAAAUCUUCUUCUUUUUA
rnacentral:tRNA from 1 species